GCAUUGGCCCCUGAUAAGGCAGCGCAUCCUGUCUGACUCCCUGGCCACACCUUCACAGCUGGGCCAGCUGUGGUCUUUGCUGACUUCAAAGAAACAGCUUCCCUUGGAUCCACAUCAAGGACUUUGAUGAGGAAGGGGUCCUCUGACCUUUCUAGAGAAGGAUGGGACCACCUUUUGUGGAGGGGUGUGUGUGCGUGUGUGUAUUCUUCCGGCCACUAUUACAUUUUCACACACUGGAUAUAAAAUAUCUGAAAACAAUCACCGGAAAUAGUCUUUCACCUGUGGCCAGAGACUGGCGUCUGGCCCAGUGUGGGAGAGGCUGUGCGUUCCCUGUUGGAGCCAGCGGCCAUGGGAAGCAUACAUGCAAAGGUGGGUGACCGGGCUUUCAUACUGGUGUUCUGAAGUCUCUCAACCAAGAGAGCACAAAGUUUCUGAUUGGAUAUGACUUCUACCCACCUUGGGAAAUAUCCUCCUGGAAGAGAGAGCUUAUUCUCAGACCCAUAAUCUGCCCUGGUCUCAAGGUUUUCCACUUCAGCUGCAACCCAACCUGACAAUCAAGACCAUUCCAGGCCUGAAAUCCAGCCCCAUCCUGGGAUCUCGGGAGUUCCCAGCAAGCAGGAUGGAGAAAGAAACAGGCAGAGGCAUCCAGGUAGGAAGUCAAGUGUCCCCACAAGAUGGAGAGAAUGGUGAAGACCCAGCCUCACAGGAGAGAGUCUGUGCCAAUGUGUGACCUGGACUGGGCUCCCAGCACUGCCAGACACUCCAUCCUUUGGUUAAGCCCAUGCUUGCAUCCUGCAAUAUGAGCGUCGAACGUCUCUCCAAGCCCCCACACUCCUCUUCCUGGCUCUCAGCACAUUGCUGUCUUCAGCUGUACUGGGAAGGGUAAGUUCAACAAUUACGAGAUCUCUGUGCCUGGACAUUCUUUAUCCACACCUCACUACUGCGUGCCCCACCCUUCUCUUCCAGGAUCAGAGCCAGUGCCACCUCCCCAGUGGAGAUGAUUUCUUCCUGUGCUGGCUGCUAAAUUAUCCUUUCUAAAGAAAUGAUCAGAAUGACCUAAAAGGAUUUAUGAAUAAGGAACUUGAUCGCUGUACAUCCUGUAAAAGCAUAAACUGUGAAGUAACCAUUUUUUUUUCCAACAGAAGACGAUUGGUCAAAUAGAUUAGGGAGCAGCUGUGAGGUGGCCUGGGUGAUUUUUGGAUGCAGUACGACUCCAAUUUUGCUAGAAGCAAAACAGAAUCUGCAACGACAAUCCUGAAUAUGCAUUUAUAAAGGAGAAAAGACAGGAGAAAAGUAUGCCAAAAUUAAACAUUCUUUACCUUCUUACUUAUUCGUAGUACUUUGCUAUCAUAGGGAUUCUCUACUGUUGUACUGUAGUAUAUAUAAUUAAAAUGAAGAUGAAAAAAAAAAUACCGUAACAGCAUUUCUCCAUGGGAAAGCCGCAGGUGAUUCUGUUUCUCUCGGCAUUCCAUUAAAUGAAGCCUUCCUUGGGGUGCUGCUGGGCAGACAUCUACACAGUAACUCUCAUUAUGUCUAAGGACUAGAAGUAAAGAAAACCACAACCAAUUAACAUCACAGUGGGAACCGAGGCGUGCAGAAUGGAAAUGCUUCAAAGGGAACGCAUUAUUACCAACUUCCCCCCAUUUGGAACAGGUGUUUAAGGGAAUGCACUAAAUUUGCUUCAGAUAAUUUAUUUUUGAGAGUGCUAUGAUUGUUGCAUUUUCCUGUCUUUGUUUUCCUGGGAACUUUUGACAAGCAGAAACCAUUCAGCAAUGGAUGUUGCAUUCUGGUCCUUUGAAUCUAUUUAAUGGAGGCUCUACUGUGUGCCUUAACUCAGGGGAGACAAGUGGUUAUCAGCCAUCAGCUUUCAACAGUGGAUACAAUGAUGCCCUAGAACUUGGGAACUUGGGACAUGUUUGGAGUGUGUUUGAUUGUCGGGGUGACUGGGGAACAGUGCUGUUGAUUGGGGGCGGGACGGUGGUGUAGGGCAGGAUUGCUAGCUCCUCAGCAACAUGUGGGGCAGUCCUAGAAAAUGAAGAAUUGUUGAACUUACCCUUCCUAGUACAGCUAAAGACAGCAAUGUGCUGAGAGCCAGGAAGAGGAGUGUGGGGGCUUGGAGAGAUGUUCCACGCUCAUAUUGCAGGAUGCAAGCAUGGGCUUAACCAAAGGAUGGAGUGUCUGGCAGCGCCGGGAGUCCAGUCCAGGUCACACAUUGGCAUGUGUGAUGGCAACACCUGGGGAAGGGCACUCAUCUGGACUGUAGACUAGAGAAGACGGAACCCCCAAGGCUCCCACUCUUCCCUGGCCACAUGAGAAAGGGCUGUGGUAAAGCCAGACAGCUGUUUCUCGGCAGCAGCCCAGCACCACCAAGCUGAGAUUCAGGGUUACUGGAUCUCUCAGGCUUUCCAAAGAAGCUAUAAAUCUAGAUGGUGAUGCACAAUUUCCUGAAAGAAAAAAAAAAAAAAACUGCACAAGCCAAACUAAACAUAUGCAUGGGCCAGAAUUGGCCCUCGGGUGGCUAAUUCACAACUCCAACGUAGGAAAAGACUCAGUCCUUGUCUUUAUGAGGGGUAUAACAGGGCUGUUAUGAAUUCAAAUUCUGGAGCAGACAGACCUGGGUUCAAAUCAUGGUUCCAUUACUCAUUACCCAUGUCUCUGUCCACUGAAAAUUCUUCAAUCCCCACUUCUCACUCCAUAAAAUUGGAACUAAGGAUAGCACUAUUGGCUUGUCAAGAUGUACAUGGGGGAUGCUGACAAAGUAGAAUAACCAUUAGCAUUAUGUUUAUUAAGACCACAGUCUGGCCUAAGCACUUGCUAAAUACAUACAGGUGCUCAUGGGUUAUUAAAUAUGUGUGAGAGAAAGCUCUUAGCUUGGAGAUGUUUUCAUUCUGGAAAGAGAGAUCAAUCUUGGACAUAAAUAACAUGAGCUAGUUGGAUAGAAGACUAUGUCUGACAUUAGACACAUGGGAAACUGAGGCAGUCAGGCUUGUAAAGGAGGUGGGGUAUGGCCAGGCAGAGAUGGAGGAGGAGAAAUGGCCUGAGCAAAGGCCAGGAGGAAGGUGAUAAAAUAUUAAUGAUGGCGGCAAGAACUCCCCGAGCAUUAUUCCGUGGAGUGGCAGAUUUGCUCCCUGAACUUCAUGCAAGGCGUGAGGCUGGAAUGGUCUUGGGGAAGCAGGCUCUGGGCACUGCCAGGCCAGAGCAUGAGUGCUUAAUUUGUUGGUGGAAGAAUGAAAAGAAAGGAUUGGCCCGGUUAAAACAGUGAUCUGGGGUCAAGAACCAAGAGGGCGAGUGGAAGCAGAUCUGUGGGCAGACCCAGCACAGCACGAGGGGGGGUCUAGGGAUAGGUAGGUGGGGGUGCAGGGAAGAUAUUUUACCAGGCCAAAUAUUCGGGGUAGUGGAGUGCACUGUCCUUAUCUUUUUGGUUGUGAGCCUAGCCUUUAACAGCUGAGUCAUCUCUCCAGCCUGGGGUGCAUUGUCAAAAGCCAUCACACGCAGAAACAAGCUUUGUUUAGGAGAAGCGAUUAUUUUAAUCAUAUCAACUUAUGUCAUUAUGUGCCCCAAACAUCCAUAAGGUGGACGAUAGCAACAGCAUCCUCCAGGGAUCCACACAGGUCUCAGCCUUUCCUUGAUGACAUGGAAGACCUUCACUGUCACGGUCAACGGUGGCAGUGGUAUAGGAGGUUAUGGAAACUGUGCAUGCAUUGAGAUGGUAAGAUGGUUUGGAACUCCUGUUGUAUGUAGUCUCUAUGACAUCCUGCUUUCUCCGUCACCACGAGCAUACUCUCAAUACCAUUUCAUUGUCUAUCGACUUUGCAUCUUGAUUAUCAACGACUCUUUGUCAUGAGUUUUGAAAAAUGUCUUCGCUAGUUUGCUGUUAUUUUCCCAUCUCUCCAGAAACCCUGCCCCCUCCUUCCCUUUGGCUCUUUAGAGCACUCAUCUCGGCUGGGUUAUUGAUGGAUUGAGCAUGGACAAAGUUUGCCGAGGGUUGACUCAUCUGGGCUGGCUGAGCGGGAAUCCCAUAUCACAAUAGAGAGAGGUGCUUAGCAAAGACUGAGGAACAAUAUUUCCAGGGGAAGUUGUAAAUCCUCUAAAAGAACAAACUGUCUCCAAGCAUUACAACAACAUCCAUUUUCACUCCAACAGGCCGAGUGCUGUUUAUGCUGGAAGGCACAUUCAUUUUUAAAAGUAGAACUGGCACACCUCUUCUAGGAAAGAUUUCAUUGGCUGGGAUUCUGAUGGCCUCUCUAGGGUGGAGGUGCUAAGACUAUCUUUCUGGAGUGCCCUGGGUUCCACAGAAUGCCACCCAAAUUAGUCCCAAGAGCAAAGUCUCACUGUCGUGCAGCUUUAGCAUAAAAGAAUCCAUGAAUAAUCACUUACACUCGCCCUACAGAUAAUCUGCAGACAACUGCCAGAAGGGUCCAUACACUGAAGUCCUGUUAAUGCCGUAGGAAAAGGUUGCUCGUUUUAAAAAAUCCUGGGGUUAUCCACGUGCUUGCACCAGCACAUGGUUCAUGCAGUGCUGAGGAUCCAACCCAAGGCUUCAUGCAUGCUGGGCAAGCACUCUACCUACUAAAGCUACACUAGCCCUCUGCCCAUAUCCUUUUCUGCAUCCCAUAUUCUACUUCCUGUUGAACCCCAAGCCUGUGUGACUAGCAAAUGGAAAACAAAUAUUUGGGAAAUUGGUGUGGGGUUCCUAAGUGAAGAAGGAAGAUGUUAGGCGUGGCCUCUUCCACUCCCAUGUCUACUCUGGUGUCUCCUUUCCUCCAGUGUUUUUCACACCAUUUCUGCCCCAGGUGCCUCCAACACCACCUUCCCAGAGGAACAGCCAAGAUACCAAGGGCAAGGACAGUCUGGCUCCAUUCUGAGACAAUGGCUGGCACACAGUAGGCCUGAAAUAGGCCCACUGACUGUCAGGGGCAUGCGGCAAAGGGAAGUGACAGCUGUUUGCUGCCACCACAUUCAAUGGCCAUACUGUUCGGAUGGAAAGAGGAGGACCCGUGAAGGACACCUCUUGCUCAGGAAAAACAACUUUGUCAUUAUGUCUUUGCCCUUGAAAAUAUCCCUGUAUAGCCAAAGAAGAGAACAAAGAGCCAGACACGUGCCUGUGGGAUCUGAUGGUCAAAGAUCUGCUCUUAUCAUUCUGAGCAGAAAGGCAUCGGGCUGGGAGCUGGUUCCAUAGCUUGGCUUAUCCUUUCAAAUGACCUGUGCAGAACCAAUUCUGUUUUCAUCCCAACAACAGGGCAUUGAUUUCUUUUCAAGGAUCUUAAGUGAAGCCUAACUUCUCAGUUGUUCCCACACCCCGUUCCUGGAAUUCCCUAAUUUCUAUUCCCCGAGACAAGAAUAAUUGAAUCCAGGGCUUUGUUGGUCUUUGGCAAAGUCACUUAGAAUCACGGCCGACUUUGGCAGGAUAGGGGCAAGGUGGACAGGUAACCAACCACAAGAAAUUCCAAUAAAAGUUCUGACUAAAGGUAAGAUUCAGAUUAAGAGUUGGAUUUUUGUUGUGAGUUAUUUCAGGCUGGGCGCCCGCUCUUGGGAAAGUUCUGGGCGUGUGCCAGCGUGGCUGGCAUCCUCCAUCAUUGUUGACUCUUGCAAAUUUCACACAUGGUCACCUCAUCUUCCUUUCUUUUUGCAGUCUCCCCAGAAAGCACCCCACCUCUGACCUAAGCAUUUCAUUAGUCCUCCCUCCUUAGAGGCCAUUUGGGAUUUUUCUUGACAGUCAUUUUAUUCACUCUGGUUCAGGCCUGCCAGCCCGACUAUUCUCAGCCAAGCUUCCAAGGGAAACCUGAUCCGCUUGCUGCGUCAGAUCACUUGGAAAUGGAUCCGCUGGCUUGGAGUCACUCCAGGCGGGGCUGUAAAAUUGCUCUCCUCCUUCUAAGUGGGUUGGGUCAAGCCCAAACUGAGGCGGGAGGUUUCCAAGGAACACAGAGCAUAGGCUGUCGUAAGUGGUGGUGAUGGGGUCGGUGGCUCUCUUGCUUCUAAGUCAGUGCUAACCUUCCACUGGCAAGAAGCGUGUGAAGGCGGCCUCCAUGGUCUCAAGCAGAACAGUGAGGUCUUCACUGGGGAGCCUGAAACAAUUUUACAAGAGUGGUAGGGACUCAAGCUUGGUGUGAAUCUCUUCGUUCAAGCCAAGUUCUAGUCUAGAGUUUUGUAUUUCCAAGAUAAAUGGAGGCUAGUUGAUACGAUUUUGAGAAGUAUAUACCUUGUGCAAAGUUUGUGAAGGUGUCUAUUCUUCUACUGGGCCACACUAGCAAAUACCACCCAAAUUCUCCUAUACAUUCCAAGGUCUCCUUGGAAUAUUCCAAAUGGGAUUGAUUUAUUGUUUCAGUUUCUUUUUCUUUUUAAUUUUAAAUUUUAUGUAUGUGUAUAGAUAGUGUUUUGCCCACAUGUAUGUCUGUUACCAGGUACACAGGAAGUAUAUAAGGAGGCUAGAAGAUAGUAUGGAUCCCCAGGAACUGGAGUUAUAGGUAUGGUCAGCUACCAUGUGGGUGCUGGGGAUUGAACCUAGGUCACUGGAAGGACAGCAAGUGCUGUAAACAGACGAGCCAUCUCUGCAGCCCCUAGUUUUAAGUGUCACUGGGCUGUUUCAUUCUGAUGCCUGGGGGCCUGCCUGGUCUAAUGAAAAGAGCCCUUGGGUGGGAGUCAGAAGUCCCAGCAAUGUCAAUCAAAGCAAGUCCUUUAAUGCGCUUGCAUUGCCUUAUCUAUGAAAUAAGAUUUGUGUACUUUGACCACCACAAAGCACUCUGUGAAUACCUGGAAGAGUUGUUCUCACCUGUAGCUAUGGGACUGAAAAUGAAGGGAUGCUGGGGGUUCUAUGGAAGCUGUGGGCUGAAACAUGAUGGGCAGACAAGCAUGGUGAGCAGGGAGGCAGGAUGCUGACUGCCCCGUUAGAAAGACGCUCCAAACUCUCUGGGCUCACCUGUCAGGAUUUUCAUAUAACUGUUCAUUUUAGACAACAGAAUUAAGUUGAUCCAUCUCAUACCUAGUGGAAAAAUUUUGUCCACUUUUUAUUUUUUCUGCCAGGGUCACAAUGACAGUUCUGAUUGCCUUACACUUUUCUGGAAUGAUCAGGCACUGACAGAUCAUAGAAAUCAUUCCAUUCAAGUCUAGGCUGGUGAGCCAAGGUGUGUACUGGGUUACAGGAGCGUGCGAAGAGGGCUCUGUGCAAAGGGGAGGGUUUGAAGCAGGCAUUCCAAGUUGGGGGAAUGUGAAGCGGGGAGUUGGGGACAGACGAGCAUGGUAGACAGAAUCUCAGGAGAUGCUCUGGUGACCUGUCUCUUCCUCUCGUGGGGAAUUUUUAACCACCUCAUUCCUAUUUCCAUAGACCUGGCUACUGCCAUGGUCUUCACUCAUUUCUUUACCACGAACACAGGGCCAAGGUAUUCUGUGCAUUACCACAUCAUCUGCUCUGCCAUGUGAGAUGGUCAUGUUAGGUCCAGAGGAAGCCGCUUCACUGUGACAAUCCUGAUAUUCAACCAAUUGCCUUCAUUGAACAACUUCUCAGUCCUAGAGAUCUGGGGAGAUCUAGGAGCAAAGGUUAACUUCAGGAGAUUCAGCCUUUCGGGACAGAGGAGCUAUAAGUAGAUAACCAUGGAGAAAGAGACUGGGAAGUAGGAGAGUCACGGUUGGGCAGUGGUUAGCAGAAUGUGGUCCUCGGGCCAAAUCCAGCUCGUGUUCUACUUUUGUAAAGCAAGUUUGAUUGGAACACAGACAAGCUCAUUUGUUUCAUUUGUUUGUGUGCUGGCCAUGGCUGUUUCUGCACCACAGUGGCAGAACUGAGUCACAGCGACGGAGACAGCGGAAGGACUCAUCUUGACUGUCAGGCUUGGUUCGAUUGAAAAGGCUUGGGAAAUUAGUAAAGGAAACUUCGAGGUGCUUCCCUCUGUGAGGGUGGUUCCAGAGAAGAGUAGAUGAGGAGGCAGACUUGCCAUGAAUGUGGGUGGCACCGUCUCAGCCUGGGUGCUCCCAUGCAAUCAAAGAAGGGUAGGACUCAGGAGGCAGAGGUUAAGAGUGUCGUCUUGGGUUGAGGACAACAUGCUCUGCACUGAGUUCCAGCCAGGGAAUCAUAGCAAGACCUUGUCUCAAAAAAACUAAACCAGAGUCUGGGCAUGGUGGCUUACACCCUAAUCCCAGCACUUUGGAGGCAGAGACAGGAGGGUCUCUGUGAGUUCCUAGCCAGCCUGGUCUACAUAAUGAAUUUCAGGGCAGCCAGAGUUAGAUGGUGAGACCCUGUCUCAAAAAAACAAAGCAAAACAAACAAAGAAACAAACAAAACCCAAAUAGCAGGUCGGGGCAAGGAAGGUAAUUCUCUGUCUCAGCUUCCUGGCUGCCUUGAGGCAAGCUGCUCUUCAUUGUCCUGUCCUGUCUUUUGUGCCACGAUGGACUGGAACUUCUCAAAUGAUGAGCAAGAUAAACGUCUCCUCCCUGAAGUCGUUCAGGUCAGGUGUUUAGUCACAGCGGCAGGACAUCUUACACUGACAGCAUGACUCUCGAAGCUGAAAGUGUUUUCUUUCUGGUUUUUGAAAGAACACACCGUUGAUCUCAGGCUUAAGAGAAACAAGUGUCAAAAAGGUUUACCUUGGGCUAAAGUUGAGAAGAGGAAAAACACACCCCAGUUAGCUGGAGUAGCAAGUACAGAGGAAGAGUUUCCAUGCGGAGCAAUGAGUUGUCUUCUCAUUCGUGGACCUGGGUGACAUGAUGGUGGCCAUAAUGAGGUUCAGUCUCUUUGUGACUUCUGACUAAGGCAAGAACUAUAAGAGGUAUUUCAAGAUACCUUCUCUCAUUCACAAGAUUGUGGGACAUCAAGACAGAAGCAUGGUUUUCAACCCAGGCCCGUCCAAAAGGAUGACAAAGUUCAUGUUGAAAUUUCUAAGAGCCGACAGGCUAGCAAAACAACUCAGCUUCACAGAGAGAAAUGUGACAUCUACGCUGAACAAGGACAGCAGGAACAAGGCUCAUGGUAUGGUCGUCUACGGGGACAGUCACCCCAGCAAGGUGGUUAUCAUUAGGUCAAAACUGGACAAAGACCACGAACAGACACAUGAGUGGAAAGCCAGACCUUGACUGGUAGAAGUAGAAAAAGGCAAACACAAGGCAGGAAGGACCGAGAAGAUAGAAGAAUGAAGUAAUCUCAUGUACAAUUUUCAUUAAAAACCGCUAAUAUCAAAAGAAGACGCUACAGGAAGUUUAAUUUGGUUAAAAAAAAAAAAAGGAACAACUGGAGAUGAAAAUGAAAGAUGGGCUGUGAUUGAGCAGGAAUGCUCCCUUUAAACCAAUACUAACACGUCAGAAAUCCGUCUGGUAAAGCAGGGCAUCUCAUUUUUCCCCCAUUGGGUAUCCCUUCCUCACCCAAGAAGUUUUUAUGUGCCUUCAGGUAUAUAGCAAUAUGAAAGUGCUCUAUAAUUCAAACAUUUACUGAUAAUAAAAAACUAAAGAGAUUCAUUUUAAAACAAUUCUCUGGUGACCCCAGGGACAGCUCCAUUGAUAAAAUACUUGCCUUGCGAACAGAAGGAACUGAGUAAAGAUAUGGGCAUGUGGUGCACUUAUAGACUCCCGGUACUGCAGAGGCAGAAGCAGGAGGAUUCAUCUGUAGGGCUUGCAGGCCAGAUGACCUAACCCAGUUUGCGAGCUCCAGACCAACAAGAGACGUGGUA